rnacentral:rRNA from 1 species
UACGAAGGGUGCAAACGUUGCUCGGAAUUAUUGGGCGUAAAGCGCACGUAGGCGGCAUUGCAAGUCGGAUGUGAAAUCCCUCGGCUUAACCAAGGAAGUGCAUCCGAAACUGCAGUGCUUGAGUACUUAAGAGGAUCGCGGAAUUCCCGGUGUAGAGGUGAAAUUCGUAGAUAUUCGGAAGAACACCAGUGGCGAAGGCGGCUCACUGGUCCGGUACUGACGCUGAGGUGCGAAAGCGUGGGGAGCAAACAGG